AGAGUUUGAUCCUGGCUCAGGACGAACGCUGGCGGCGCGCCUAACACAUGCAAGUCGAACGGAGCUUAAAGAGCUUGCUUUUUAAGCUUAGUGGCGAACGGGUGAGUAACGCGUGAGUAACCUGCCCUGGAGUGGGGGACAACAGUUGGAAACGACUGCUAAUACCGCAUAAGCCCACGGAUUCGCAUGGAUCUGCGGGAAAAGGAUUUAUUCGCUUCAGGAUGGACUCGCGUCCAAUUAGCUAGUUGGUGAGGUAACGGCCCACCAAGGCGACGAUUGGUAGCCGGACUGAGAGGUUGAACGGCCACAUUGGGACUGAGACACGGCCCAGACUCCUACGGGAGGCAGCAGUGGGGGAUAUUGCACAAUGGGGGAAACCCUGAUGCAGCGACGCCGCGUGGAGGAAGAAGGUUUUCGGAUUGUAAACUCCUGUCGUUAGGGACGAUAAUGACGGACCUAACAAGAAAGCACCGGCUAACUACGUGCCAGCAGCCGCGGU
rnacentral:rRNA from 1 species